GCACCGCUCCGCUUUCGAUCUUCAUGGAAAACCUAUUCCGAGUCGACCCCACGCCCAAACAAUAUGUCCUAUAAAUAGCCACGACCUUCCUCUACCGAUUCCCUUCGAAACCCCUCGCCAAAAGCCAUCGUAUCGCACGCCCUCGCCGCUUGGAUCUCGCCGGAAUUCAUGAAGUUCAUCGGACGUUCUCAACGCCGCGAGCUACUUCGAGCUCAAACGCCGCCCCGGAGCACCGGAGUUCACCACAGAGACAAGCACGCUCCGUUCAACCCCGUCGCUCCCAACGACCAGAUCCACCACCCGGAGAACCCCCUCGACGAGACGCAGCUGACCCCGUCCUCUACGGUCGCUGAUUCUCGCCGGAGCCGCCGCCCCGAUCAUCACCUCUUCGUCCGAUGCUGGAGCCCUGGAGCCAGACGCCACCGUCGACGAUGAUUC